GACGAACGCUGGCGGCGUGCUUAACACAUGCAAGUCGAACGGAAAGGCCCUGCUUGCAGGGUACUCGAGUGGCGAACGGGUGAGUAACACGUGGGUGAUCUGCCCUGCACUUCGGGAUAAGCCUGGUAAACUGGGUCUAAUACCGGAUAGGAGCCAUUUUUAGUGUGAUGGUUGGAAAGUUUUUUCGGUGUAGGAUGAGCUCGCGGCCUAUCAGCUUGUUGGUGGGGUAAUGGCCUACCAAGGCGGCGACGGGUAGCCGGCCUGAGAGGGUGGACGGCCACAUUGGGACUGAGAGACGGCCCAGACUCCGACGGGAGGCAGCAGUGGGGAAUAUUACACAAUGGGCGCCAGCCUGAUGCAGCGACGCCGCGGGGGGGAUGACGGCCUUCGGGUUGAAAACUCAUUUCGCUAGGGACGAAGCUUUUUGUGACGGUACCUAGAGAAGAAGCACCGGCUAACUACGUG
rnacentral:rRNA from 1 species